rnacentral:rRNA from 1 species
CCCUUAGAUGUUCUGGGCCGCACGCGCGCUACACUGAUGCAUUCAACAAGCCUAGCCUUGACCGAGAGGUCCGGGUAAUCUUUGAAACUGCAUCGUGAUGGGGCUAGAUUAUUGCAAUUAUUAAUCUUCAACGAGGAAUGCCUAGUAAGCGUGAUUCAUCAAAUCGCGUUGAUUACGUCCCUGCCCUUUGUACACACCGCCCGUCGCUCCUACCGAUUGAAUGUGUUGGUGAGGAGCUCGGAUUGGCAGCAGUUGGUGGUUCGCCACCGGCUAUUGCUGAGAAGUCCUCCAAACCGCCCCAUUUAGAGGAAGGAGAAGCCGUAACA